AAAUAAUAUCUGUGUAGGUACCUCUAAUGGAAAUGUUGGAAGAGUAUAACAUGCUAAGAAGAGAAAAAUAGGAGGAAAAAAAGACAGCAACCAUGGAAAAAGAAGAAGGUCCAGAGUCAAGUAGCAGUUGAGCGAGAUAAUAUGUAUGCAUCAAGACCAAGCACCAGCAGUAGACGUAUUCCAAAUAAAAGCUGUAAUGGAGGUCUAGACAGUCCUAUGCCAGUGAACAGAAGGCCUCCCAUCAGUAUCUAUCAAUUCGGAUCAAACAGCAUAAAUUCAGGAAAUCAAGCUAUAUCCUUCAUUAAUGAUGGAAGGAAGAUGCAAAGAAGAAAGAUGUUUGGUGAAUCUGGCAUUCCUCCUCAUUCAAGAGACGAGGCAUCUCCUGUGAUAUCAACACAUUCUAGACCAUUUUCUCCUUAAAUUUUCUUUAUUUGAAACAUAAUUUGAGUGAAAAGCACCUGUAGAAAGCAUGGUUUGCAGUAAAACUAUCACCAACCUGCAAAAGAAUAAAUAUGAACUCAUCAUGUAUAGGAUUUUUUUUUUGUAUUUAUCUCUUUGCACUUGAGUUUCCUAAAUGAGUGAGACCUUGUUAGUUGUAUACCUGUAUACAGAUUAAAUUCUUCGUCCA